CCUACGGGUGACAGCAGUAGGGAAUCUUUCACAAUGGGCGAAAGCCUGAUGGAGUAACGCCGCGUGCAGGAUGAAGGCCUUCGGGUUGUAAACUGCUUUUAUAAGCGAGAAAUAUGAUGGUAACUUAUGAAUAAGGAUCGGCUAACUACGUGCCAGCAGCCGCGGUCAUACGUAGGAUCCGAGCAUUAUCCGGAGUGACUGGGUGUAAAGAGUUGCGUAGGUGGCAUAAUAAGUAGCUAGUGAAAUCUGGUGGCUCAACCAUUCAGACUAUUAGCUAAACUGUUAAGCUCGAGACCGUUAGGGGUAACUGGAAUUUCUAGUGUAGGAGUGAAAUCCGUAGAUAUUAGAAGGAACACCAAUAGCGUAGGCAGGUUGCUGGGACGGUUCUGACACUAAGGCACGAAAGCGUAGGGAGCAAACGGGAUUAGAUACCCCAGUAGUC
rnacentral:rRNA from 1 species